UAGGACCAUGAACUGGUAAACUCUCCUC
rnacentral:piRNA from 1 species